rnacentral:lncRNA from 1 species
CUCUGAUGAGGGAACCAAAGCAGCAUGUAUUGUAGAAGUUUAUCAAUUUUCAGGCCAACAUAAAGAAUAAAACAUAUUCUGAAAUGUGUAUGGUUGUAGACAUUUACUCUGAAGAAUGAGAUUUGUUUUGUUAUGUUUACUUGUAGCUUUCUCAAUUCAGGUUCUAAUUCGAUAAUCUUAAUUGGGAAAACACAUCUGUUUCAACAGGAAUAUGUUGUGGAGGAUGUUGACAAUGAGAUGACGGGAUCUGAUUGGUCUCCCCCACCCCUUCCCCCGGAGCAUGUUCAGCAGCUUAAAACACUUGGGCUUCUAUAAUAUCGAAAACCUUAAACAGGGAAUGGAGGACAUAGAGAUGGACUGUCUCUGCACUUGUAUAGGCUGGUAAGCAUAGACAUUAAGUCAAUGCUAUUGAUCUCGAGACUGCAAUUUUUAUCGUCCUAUUGGAAACAUGUACCUGAUGUUCAAUCAUGUUUAUAAUGUAUGAACGAUAAUAAAGUAAUAAUAUAAUUGAAAUAAUUUCCUUUUUUUAUGCCAUAUAGGAAGAUAGAUACAACUAAUAAUUCAAUCAAGUAAUAAGAAUCAUCUGAUAAUAGUUUUUUCACUACAUAUCACUUGUAUUUGCCAUGCUCCUUGUUUCUCGAUUUAAGAUGCACAUUGAUCAAUUAGCAAAAUAUUAUCCUCAAAGCUUUUGUUCCCUGUGGUAACUGGUAAGAUAAUUGGGAGAAGCGUGUUUACUUGCAGAUUGUUUACAUACUGCCAGUUGCAUUGUCUUUGCUCGUCUUGUGGGUUUUGGAAGCUGGUCUUAGCGCCCAUUUGGUGUAGCUACAAACUUGAUAAAAAUUUAAAUCAAAGUUAACAAUUGAUUUUAACCAUACAUUUCAUGAGACUCCGAAUUUUCAUUAACUUUUUUGGCACAUUUCAUGUAUUUUUCAAAAUCUACCAUAAAUUUUAUUUUUCAGCUAAGCCAAAUAAGGGGCUUAAUGUUGUAGAUUGCAUUAGUCAUAAAUUGAAAAUGGUGUACAUAUAUCAUGCUCAAGUAUAUAUUCCCAUAUAUUAUAUAGCAUGAGUAGGUUAGUAAAUGAUUAUGGGGCUAUCUGGCAGGGCAUUUGCUUUUACUUCUUGUAGAGGAGUUUUAAGAGGAAGCUACAUUUUGUCCGUGCUUUUCAGAAUGUACAUAGUGUUCACUACUUCCAAAACUUUCAUUUUUGUCUGUGCUUUUUAUUGACAGUAGUUACAAAAUUAGAUGCGAGGAACCCAAAACUAAAUGCAAUUUCAUUUUAGCAUAAUCUAGAACCACUGCAGGACUGAGACAAUUCUCAGCAUAUCUUGCUAGUGUAUGGAGACUGGAAAAUAGGCAAAUAAACAUAAGCUCCAUUUUGUUCUUUGUAUGAAUGUACAUUUGUUAUGAGCUAUGAAGUUUUUUGUAAUUGAAAUUUGCUUGGCGUUGAGAUGAAAGCAAUGUCUUGGCAGAUUUGUCAGAUGUGUCUUGAAGGGG